UACGGAGGGUGCGAGCGUUGUCCGGAAUCACUGGGCGUAAAGGGCGCGUAGGCGGUCUGGUAAGCGUGUGGUGAAAGCCCGGGGCUCAACCCCGGGUCUGCCGUGCGAACUGCCGGACUUGAGCACUGUAGAGGCAGGUGGAAUUCCGAGUGUAGCGGUGGAAUGCGUAGAUAUUCGGAGGAACACCGGUGGCGAAGGCGGCCUGCUGGGCAGUGUCUGACGCUGAGGCGCGACAGCGUGGGGAGCAAACAGG
rnacentral:rRNA from 1 species